rnacentral:rRNA from 1 species
UACGUAGGGGACGAGCGUUGUCCGGAUUCAUUGGGCGUAAAGGGCGCGUAGGCGGCCUUCUAAGUCAGACGUGAAAUCCCCAGGCUUAACUUGGGAACUGCGUCUGAUACUGGGAGGCUUGAGUGCGGGAGAGGGAUGUGGAAUUCCAGGUGUAGCGGUGAAAUGCGUAGAUAUCUGAGGAACACCAGUGGCGAAGGCGGCUCACUGGCUCGACACUGACGCUGAGGUGCGAAAGCGUGGGGAGCAAACAGG